CAGGCCGGAAAUGACGUUUCCCAACCGACGGGCGGAGGCCGUUAACGGCGCGCGUGAGGGCGCUCCGCUCGCUGAUUGGCGGAGAGGCCCCGGGGGCAGCCGCGCGGACAGAGACUCCCGGAGCCAGGGGAUAUUGGGGUUGAGCUUCCUGGUUCAGGCGCUGCUGCCUCGAUUGUGAUCUGGGAGCCCAGGCUGAGCAGCUGCUGCUCCCCCAGCGGGAUCGGGGCUGGGGAGCGACUGUGAGUAAAGCUUCCUCUGUGCCCAGCCAAGGUGAGGAUUUUCUCCAGCUGUAAUUAGCCCCAUACAUCAACUCAAGGCUCUGCCCACUCCAACGUCUGAGCCAGAGACUCCAGCAAUUUCAGGAGCCGAUCCAGCCAUAGGAGAGCGAACCCCCAGGAUUGGCUGCCAGCCAGAGACAGGGGAAGGGAGACACAAGGAGAAAAAGGAGAGAGAGAGAGACUGAAAAGGGCAGUGGGAGAAAUAAUUGGGGAGAGAGAUUCCCAGAUUUCUGACCGGCCCACGCACGUUUAUUGCCGCAUCCCUGGGCAGAUUCACUUUGCUACGAACAAGAUGAGGUACAGGGGGAGGAAAAGCCAGCUCCUGACUCUCCCUGUACCCCCUGCUGUAGGAGUGUGCUGCCCUGGGGACCAUGUCAGGGGGAAUCCCCCAGUGUCACUCCUUUUGUUCUGCUCUUCUCUCCCAUUCGGUUUCAAGACUUUGUUACUGCGAGGGUUUCAAAAUGUCUCGGUGGUUUAGUGCUAGUGGGAGGGGCUGGUUAGUGCUGUAAUCAAGUGGCCAGACGUUUCCCCAGCAUAGAAUCGUAGAACUGUAGGGCUGGAAUGAACCACGAGAGGGCAUCUAGACCAGCCCCCAGCACUACGAUGUUUGUCCAACCUGUCCUUAAAAACCUCUAAUGAUGGGGAUUCCACCACCUCUCUUGCUAGUCUAUUCCAGUGCUUUAUUAGGUUUUUUCACAAUUGAGUCACGUGGUUGACUCAGAUUCAAUUUGUGAUCCACUCUAACCGCCGAUCGUUUUCAGUAGUACUACCUCAUAACUAACGCUUCGUAGUUGUGCAUUUGGUUUUCCUUCCCUAAGUCUAGUACUUUGCAGUCGUCUUUAUUGAAUUUCAUCUCAUUCCUUCAGCCCACUUCUCCAAUUUGUAAAUGUUACCUUGAAUUCUAAUCCUGUCCUCCAAUGUGCUUGCAACCCCUCGCAACUGCUAUUAUCUGCAUAUUUAGACAGCAUGCUCUCCAGUCCAUUAUCCAAGUAAUUAGUGAAAAUAUUGAAUAUAUCAGAUCCAGGACUGGCCCCUGGGCACCCCAUUGUAUACAUCCUCUCAGUUGGACAGUGAACCAGUAAUGAUUCCUGUCUGAGUACAGCCUUUCAACAACAUUUUCACCCAUUUUAUAGCACUUGCAUGUACACCACAUUUCCCUAGUUCACGGUGAGAAUGUCAUGGGGGCCUGUGUCAAAAGCCUGACUAAAAUCAAGAUAUGUCCUAUCUACAGUGUCCCCUGGAUCUAUAAGUCCAGUACCCCUGUGAAAGUAGGAAAUUAGAUUGACUUGGCAUUAUUUGUUUUUGCAAAUCCAUGCUGGCUAUAACUUAUCACCUUAC